AACGAACGCUGGCGGCAGGCUUAACACAUGCAAGUCGAACGCCCCGCAAGGGGAGUGGCAGACGGGUGAGUAACGCGUGGGAAUCUACCCAGUUCUACGGAACAACUGAGGGAAACUUCAGCUAAUACCGUAUACGCCCUACGGGGGAAAGAUUUAUUGGAAUUGGAUGAGCCCGCGUAAGAUUAGCUAGUUGGUGGGGUAAAGGCCUACCAAGGCGACGAUCUUUAGCUGGUCUGAGAGGAUGAUCAGCCACACUGGGACUGAGACACGGCCCAGACUCCUACGGGAGGCAGCAGUGGGGAAUAUUGGACAAUGGGCGCAAGCCUGAUCCAGCCAUGCCGCGUGAGUGAUGAAGGCCUUAGGGCUGUAAAGCUCUUUCAGUGGGGACGAUAAUGACGGUACCCACAGAAGAAGCCCCGGCUAACUUCGUGCCAGCCGCCGCAGUAA
rnacentral:rRNA from 1 species